AGGACGAACGCUGGCGGCGUGCUUAACACAUGCAAGUCGAACGGAAAGGCCCUUCGGGGUACUCGAGUGGCGAACGGGUGAGUAACACGUGAGCAAUCUGCCCUUAGCUUCGGGAUAGCUCCGGGAAACCGGAAUUAAUACCGAAUAUGACUCCGGCCGACAUCGGCUGUGGUGGAAAGUUUUUCGGCUAGGGAUGAGCUCGCGGCCUAUCAGCUUGUUGGUGAGGUAACGGCUCACCAAGGCGACGACGGGUA
rnacentral:rRNA from 1 species